rnacentral:rRNA from 1 species
UACGUAGGGUGCGAGCGUUAAUCGGAAUUACUGGGCGUAAAGCGUGCGUAGGCGGUUCGUUAAGUGCGUCGUGAAAGCCCCGGGCUCAACCUGGGAAUGGCGAUGGAAACUGGCGGGCUGGAGUAUGGCAGAGGGGGGUGGAAUUCCGCGUGUAGCAGUGAAAUGCGUAGAUAUCGGGAGGAACAUCAGUGGCGAAGGCGGCUGCCUGGCCCAAUACUGACACUCAGGUGCGACAGCGUGGGGAGCAAACAGG